GGAGGCUUGCUCCUCUGAUGGCGAGUGGCGAACGGGUGAGUAAAGCAUCGGAACGUACCGUGUAGUGGGGGAUAACGUAGCGAAAGUUACGCUAAUACCGCAUACGCACUGAGGUGGAAAGCAGGGGAUCGCAAGACCUUGCGCUAUACGAGCGGCCGAUGUCAGAUUAGCUAGUUGGUAGGGUAAAGGCCUACCAAGGCGACGAUCUGUAGCGGGUCUGAGAGGAUGAUCCGCCACACUGGGACUGAGACACGGCCCAGACUCCUACGGGAGGCAGCAGUGGGGAAUUUUGGACAAUGGGGGAAACCCUGAUCCAGCCAUGCCGCGUGAGUGAAGAAGGCCUUCGGGUUGUAAAGCUCUUUCGGCUGGGAAGAAAUCGCACAGGCUAAUACUCUGUGUGGAUGACGGUACCAGCAUAAGAAGCACCGGCUAACUACAUG
rnacentral:rRNA from 1 species